rnacentral:rRNA from 1 species
GAUGAACGCUGGCGGCGUGCCUAAUACAUGCAAGUCGAGCGAAUGGAUUAAGAGCUUGCUCUUAUGAAGUUAGCGGCGGACGGGUGAGUAACACGUGGGUAACCUGCCCAUAAGACUGGGAUAACUCCGGGAAACCGGGGCUAAUACCGGAUAACAUUUUGAACCGCAUGGUUCGAAAUUGAAAGGCGGCUUCGGCUGUCACUUAUGGAUGGACCCGGGUCGCAUUAGCUAGUUGGGGAGGUAACGGCGCACCAAGGCAACGAUGCGUAGCCGAGCUGGGAGGGUGAUAGGCCACACUGGGACUGAGACACGGCCCAGACUCCUACGGGAGGCAGCAGUAGGGAAUCUUCCGCAAUGGACGAAAGUCUGACGGAGCAACGCCGCGUGAGUGAUGAAGGCUUUCGGGUCGUAAAACUCUGUUGUUAGGGAAGAACAAGUGCUAGUUGAAUAAGCUGGCACCUUGACGGUACCUAACCAGAAAGCCACGGCUAACUACGUGCCAGCCGCCGCAGUAA